rnacentral:rRNA from 1 species
AUUGAACGCUGGCGGCAGGCCUAACACAUGCAAGUCGAGCGAGCGGCGGACGGGUGAGUAAUGUCUGGGAAACUGCCUGAUGGAGGGGGAUAACUACUGGAAACGGUAGCUAAUACCGCAUACCAUCCGAUUUGCCCAGCUGUGAUUAGCUAGUAGGUGUGGUAACGGCUCACCUAUGCGACGAUCCCUAGCUGGUCUGAGAGGAUGACCAGCCACACUGGAACGGAGCCACGGUCCAGACUCCUCCGGGAGGCAGCAGUGGGGAAUAUUGCACAAUGGGCGCAAGCCUGAUGCAGCCAUGCCGCGUGUGUGAAGAAGGCCUUCGGUUUGUAAAGCACUUUCAGCGGGGAGGCGUUACCCGCAGAAGAAGCACCGGCUAACUCCGUGCCAGCAGCCGCGGUAAUUC